rnacentral:lncRNA from 1 species
ACUCUGAAACCCAGAGGUCUCCAUUCAUCUUAAGGACUGUGUUUAUGGGAAGGUUUCAUUGGCCAUAGUGACUGUGUACAUUAAUAUUCUAUUUCUUUAAGUUUUUUAGAAGAUGUGACACCAAAACACUGAACUCCAUUCGUUAGUGGGGGGAGGGAGCAGCAUGGAGCUAAAUAGUAGAAAUGAGGUAAAAAGUGUCCCAGAGUAUUUCUAAACUUUGAAAGAGUUUAGGAAGAGAAAAAUAGUAUUAAAGCAUAAGUACGUACCCCAGUAUCCUCAACGGUCUGCAAUAACAUAAAUUAACACACAUUUAAUUAAGAGAAUCAUAAGAAGUUACAUGUUAUUUGGAUUUUCUCUUCUUUAGAUUCCCCAUCACUGUGACAUUGUGUAACAUAGGAAAGUUUAAAUAAAGUUUAAAAUCAAAGGUUACUUAACUGUGUAAAGCUAAAUCUUACAAGAUUAUGUGAAGCCAUACAGUCCUUGCUGUCUGGAGUCCUGUUGCUCUCACUGUGGCAUAUGCCGCAUUCAGGAGAUAAGAGAAGAUGUCUGCUUUUAUAGCAAAAGAAAACAUGAUAAUUAGCAUGAGUGCCACCACAAUUUAUUUUUGGUCUAGUUGAUGGGGAUGAAGGCUUCUUCUGUUAUAAGAGGGAAUUUUGAGAGCGAGACAGGGUUAGUAACCUCACUGCUACUGGGUGUGUGAAGCGUGCCACCCUUCCCUGACACAACAGCUUUGAUUCCUUUUCCCAUUUGGGGUUCAUAAUUUUCAGCUGUCUUCUGUGCUGUGCAAGGGUCCUUCCACCCUACAUGGUGAUCUUGGGUACAUCCUGAAAGCCUUGGCAUGGGAAACUUUUAAUCCUGUAAACUGAUCUCCUCCCAGUUGCCAUAGUGCUGGAUGAAAGGUAGCUGUGAGCCGGAGGGGGCACCAGGCUCUGUGCAUGCUAUGCUUGCAGCAUUUCUGCCAUGCUGCUGGCCUUGGCAUACACCAUACCUGAGCCUCUUGGAAAUAAUUCAUUUAUGGACUUGAUUUUGUUUUCUUCAAUGGUAGAAGUAUAAAUAUGUGCAACAAUUGUACUUUUUAUGGAUUUUGCUUUCUUUGCUUUUGACUUUGCUCAAAUGCUUAGGACAUUUUGAGCAGUUGUUCUUCAUGCUGUGCUGAACUAAGAACAAGUCAAAGGAAGGUCAUGCUUCAUUUAUGGAAAUUUGAUUAUUUCUGCAAAAUAUUUGUCAUGCUUCUGUUCAGAACUUCCAUUUAGCUGGCCAGAAUUCUUCAGACACGCUAGUUUUAAGGAAAUAGCUUUAAUAUUCUGCUUAUAAUUGGCAACCUCUUCUGGUCUUUCUUGGAAGUCUACUCCUAAGAGCUCAUUCAAAGAGACCCUUACAUUACACAGGUGGUGCUUUGAAACUGAAAGCAGGAAAACAUUCAGAUAUGCUAGUUAGUGUGAUAGGAAUUCAUUUCAUUAUCUCAGAAAAAAAAACUUCGAAAAAAAAA